CUGGUUGAUGUUGGAUGGGCUGGUAGUUAGAGUUGGAGGCUGGUGGAUUGAUGUUGGAUGGGCUGGUAGUCAGAGUUGGAGGCUGGUGGAUUGAUGUUGGAUGGGCUGGUAGUUAGAGUAGGAGGCUGGUUGAUUGAUGUUGGAUGGGCUGGUAGUUAGAGUUGGAGGCUGGUGGAUUGAUGUUGGAUGGACUGGUAGUUAGAGUAGGAGGCUGGUGGAUUGAUGUUGGAUGGACUGGUAGUUAGAGUAGGAGGCUGGUUGAUUGAUGUUGGAUGGGCUGGUAGUUAGAGUUGGAGGCUUGUUGAUUGAUGUUGGAUGGGCUGGUCGUCAGAGUAGGAGGCUGGUGGAUUGAUGUUGGAUGGGCUGGUAGUCAGAGGAGGAGGCUGGUGGAUGUUGGAUGGGCUGGUAGUCAGAGUAGGAGGCUGGUGGAUUGAUGUUGGAUGGGCUGGUAGUUAGAGUUGGAGGCUGGUGGAUUGAUGUUGGAUGGGCUGGUAGUUAGAGUUGGAGGCUGGUGGAUUGAUGUUGGAUGGGCUGGUAGUUAGAGUUGGAGGCUGGUUGAUUGAUGUUGGAUGGGCUGGUAGUUAGAGUUGGAGGCUGGUGGAUUGAUGUUGGAUGGGCUGGUAGUUAGAGUUGGAGGCUGGUGGAUUGAUGUUGGAUGGGCUGGUAGUUAGAGUUGG
ensembl:lncRNA